UUGUAUCCACACACACAUGAGAGAGAGAACCGAGAUGACGCCGGGUCAGUGAUGAUGGUGUACGGAUGAUGGCGGUGGUAGGUUGUGGACAAAGCGAAGCCCGACGAUGGCUUUAGGGUUCCGUCGCAAGUCAGUCAAUGGGUUAUUAGGAUUCGGGCAGAGCCAUACCUAGGGUUCCAAUUGACAAUUCCAGAGGUGUAAUCGGUGUUUAAAAGGACGGAUUGAAACAACCCCUCUUCAUCUCGCCAAAACCCUAAUCGAUUCGUCAACCACCACAUCUUCAGAUUGAUGAUCAACGUCAUCCACAGUGGCACCACAACGCUUUCACUGAGUUCGAGAAAGUGUUCGAUCGGAUUGGAUGUUCAUAGCAUGCUUCAUUCACGCGCAUGGGUAACACACGAUUGAUUAUACGUAUCAACAACGGAGAUUUGUAUGAGUUAACAACCUGAAAUUUGAUUAAUUGUGAUUACGGUGCCUUUCCAAGUUCCAAUGAUUGACAGGAGAAGACUUGAUUACACCAUGCCAUUGUAGAGGCACCCAAAAAUAUGUCCACAGGUCAUGUCUUGACAAUUGGAGGUCUGCCAGGGAGGGGUUUGCUUUCUCUCACUGCACAGAAUGUAAGGCUGUGUUUAUCCUACGUGCGAAUGUCCCACCAGAUCGCUGGUGGUUGAGGUUGAAAUUUCAGUUACUGGUUGCAAGAGACCAUGCAUUCAUUUUCAUCAUUGACUCAUUGUCCAACUGAUUGUUGCCUUCUUAGGUGUGUUGGUCUACAAAUUUUAUGGAGAUGAACCGAGACAAAGGUUAAGGGCAUCGCCCGGCAAAUUAUAUAACACACAAUGAAAAAAUUACACCAAGGGGGCAUUCCCCCGUAUCAUCCCAGACACAGCAACACAUCCCUGUAUUUCAGCACUUUACGGCGAAGUAUAACAGCCCAAUCCUAGUCCCUUUGAGUCUGACUAAUAAACCAGAACUGGGCCUUUAAAAGAUGACCAGCCCAAACGUAUAAACCAGGACCUUUUCCAGUAAAAAUGCUACCAAUGCAAGGUCCGGAGUAAAGUUUGAUGCGACCAGCUUCUAACAGCCAUAUAAAAGCAGCCUGAAGCUCCCGUCCAGUGCAGCAGGAGCUUUAUAAUUGCAGUCUGCAGACUGUACAGAACAAGCUUGUUCCAAUAAUGCAACCAGGUCCAUAUGAAUGCGUCCAGCGCUCAGCGGCCAUAGCAAUGCAGCCUGAACAAGCUCCGAGACCCAGCAGCAUCAAAGACCUGAACUUGUGAUAACAGCAGUUGUAAUAGAUCAGAUUUCUUGUACCAGACCUUUAAUCUAACAAGCCUAUUUAGCUUAAAAAUAUGAAAUAUAACCAAAUAGUGAAUAAAGUCAUUGGCAAACCCAAAACGAUG
rnacentral:lncRNA from 1 species